UGUGUCUGCUUUCUCUUCAGUUCGUAUAAAUCUUUUGCCUUUUACUAAAGAUUUCCCCUUUUAGAAUUUCUGAAUCCCCUGACAUUUUCGUUUUGUGUCUGGUUCAUAAUAACACAC